AGGCCAUGGUGUGGGCAUUUUCUCAUUAACUCUUUCAUCCUCUCCCAAGCCUCAUGAAUUUGUUCACCCGGUGUUUGGGUGAAUCCCGUGAUAGCUCUCGUCAUAGUAU
rfam:Nelumbo nucifera unplaced genomic scaffold scaffold00116, whole genome shotgun sequence